UACGAAGGGGCUAGCGUUGUUCGGAAUCACUGGGCGUAAAGCGCACGUAGGCGGAUUCUUAAGUCGGUGGUGAAAUCCUGGAGCUCAACUCCAGAACUGCCUUCGAUACUGAGAGUCUUGAGUUCGGGAAAGGUGAGUGGAACUGCGAGUGUAGAGGUGAAAUUCGUAGAUAUUCGCAAGAACACCAGUGGCGAAGGCGGCUCACUGGCCCGAUACUGACGCUGAGGUGCGAAAGCGUGGGGAGCAAACAGG
rnacentral:rRNA from 1 species